GUUAAAACAUUCGAAACGAUUCAUUGCAUUUUUAAUAUUUGUAACUAUAUUAAAAUGCACUAAACUAUUUGGAUUAACUAUCCAAUCAUCAAAUGAUAAAAACGCUUACAUGGGAGAGUUAACGAAUCCAAUAAAAAAUAAUGAAAACUUUAAAGAGAAUGUUAUAAAUUAUAUUGAAAAAAUUGUAAAAGAUUAUAGUGAUGAUAUAAGUAUUAUAAAAAGUGAUAUACAUAAUAUUUUUU